ensembl:lncRNA
CCACGAUGAACUUCCGCACAGGAAGAGGAGAUUCCUGCAAGGAAGGCCGGGAGGAUCAGGAACGGCCCUGGGCAUCACUUGUCCUCUGGCUUAGCUAAAGACACUGAAAACAGCAGUGUGUGCGCGUGUGAGGGGGCUUAGGGCCGCGUGGGCUCCUCUGGCGUCGUGCUGGAUGUAUGCAGGCCAACAAGGGUUAGGGAGAGAUUUGGACGUGUCCCCGUGCGCGUGUCCACUUAGGAGACACAUUUGUGCGUGCUACUGCCUGCGUGCAUUUUUAUAGAUGACCAAAAAGAGUGAUGUUCAAAGACCUUCAAGUAGGAUGCCAAGUGCCAACCGCUGUGCCGGACUGUUUGCUUUGCUUCUCCCUCUGCAGCCGUAAAAAUGAAGGGAAAUAAUCAGGAGAUAACCCACCACGCCACGCAUUCCUUCUCCUUUGUUCACUUUUAUCCCUCCGUUGGGUGGUGGUGGGGG